rnacentral:rRNA from 1 species
UACGAAGGGUGCAAGCGUUACUCGGAAUUACUGGGCGUAAAGCGUGCGUAGGUGGUGAGUUAAGUCUGUCGUGAAAGCCCCGGGCUCAACCUGGGAAUGGCGAUGGAUACUGGCUCGCUAGAGUGCGGUAGAGGAGAGUGGAAUUCCCGGUGUAGCAGUGAAAUGCGUAGAGAUCGGGAGGAACAUCAGUUGCGAAGGCGGCUCUCUGGACCAGCACUGGCACUGAGGCACGAAAGCGUGGGGAGCAAACAGG